UACUUUUGCGUGGUAUGUUUGUUUACUAUUAUGAAUGCAUGGUUAGUUCUUACUUUUUUUCAUGCCUUUUUAAUUGCUUUAUUUAUCGAAUCUUUUUUUUUUGAUGUAGGUUUAAUAUUAUACCAAGAAGAUUGCAUUUGGACGUCUAACCUUUCGACCAUUGAAAUGCACAAUACAGGUGUAAAUUCUUCUAAUUUACAUUAGUUCGUUCUUAUUUAUUUAUUUUUAAAAUUUUGCAUUGAUUAAUUGAUUAUGGCGUGAAAAUGGAAGCAAGAUGGACUUGUAUGGUAACGAAUUUAUCCUUCUCUUCUCCUCAUUUUAACCCUAUUUAAUAGUUUUAUAUAUUUUUAAUUUAUUAAAAGUAUUAAAUUUUUUCAUAAUCGUAAACCAUAUUGCACGAGUUAAAAUC
rnacentral:lncRNA from 1 species